rnacentral:rRNA from 1 species
AAUAGAUACCCCGGUAGUCCACGCCGUAAACGAUGAGUGCUAAGUGUUAGAGGGUUUCCGCCCUUUAGUGCUGCAGCUAACGCAUUAAGCACUCCGCCUGGGGAGUACGGCCGCAAGGCUGAAACUCAAAGGAAUUGACGGGGGGCCCGCACAAGCGGUGGAGCAUGUGGUUUAAUUCGAAGCAGCGCGAAGAACCUUACCAGGUCUUGACAUCCUCUGACAACCCUAGAGAUAGGGCUUUCCCCUUCGGGGGACAGAGUGACAGGUGGUGCAUGGUUGUCGUCAGCUCGUGUCGUGAGAUGUUGGGUUAAGUCCCGCAACGAGCGCAACCCUUGAUCUUAGUUGCCAGCAUUCAGUUGGGCACUCUAAGGUGACUGCCGGUGACAAACCGGAGGAAGGUGGGGAUGACGUCAAAUCAUCAUGCCCCUUAUGACCGUGGGCUACACACGUGCUACAAUGGAUGGUACAAAGGGCUGCAAACCUGCGAAGGUAAGCGAAUCCCAUAAAGCCAUUCUCAGUUCGGAUUGC